rnacentral:rRNA from 1 species
GGGACACGUGGUAUCCUGUCUGAAUAUGGGGGGACCAUCCUCCAAGGCUAAAUACUCCUGACUGACCGAUAGUGAACCAGUACCGUGAGGGAAAGGCGAAAAGAACCCCGGCGAGGGGAGUGAAAAAGAACCUGAAACCGUGUACGUACAAGCAGUGGGAGCACGCUUAGGCGUGUGACUGCGUACCUUUUGUAUAAUGGGUCAGCGACUUAUAUUCUGUAGCAAGGUUAACCGAAUAGGGGAGCCGAAGGGAAACCGAGUCUUAACUGGGCGUUAAGUUGCAGGGUAUAGACCCGAAACCCGGUGAUCUAGCCAUGGGCAGGUUGAAGGUUGGGUAACACUAACUGGAGGACCGAACCGACUAAUGUUGAAAAAUUAGCGGAUGACUUGUGGCUGGGGGUGAAAGGCCAAUCAAACCGGGAGAUAGCUGGUUCUCCCCGAAAGCUAUUUAGGUAGCGCCUCGUGAAUUCAUCUCCGGGGGUAGAGCACUGUUUCGGCAAGGGGGUCAUCCCGACUUACCAACCCGAUGCAAACUGCGAAUACCGGAGAAUGUUAUCACGGGAGACACACGGCGGGUGCUAACGUCCGUCGUGAAGAGGGAAACAACCCAGACCGCCAGCUAAGGUCCCAAAGUCAUGGUUAAGUGGGAAACGAUGUGGGAAGGCCCAGACAGCCAGGAUGUUGGCUUAGAAGCAGCCAUCAUUUAAAGAAAGCGUAAUAGCUCACUGGUCGAGUCGGCCUGCGCGGAAGAUGUAACGGGGCUAAACCAUGCACCGAAGCUGCGGCAGCGACGCUUAUGCGUUGUUGGGUAGGGGAGCGUUCUGUAAGCCUGCGAAGGUGUGCUGUGAGGCAUGCUGGAGGUAUCAGAAGUGCGAAUGCUGACAUAAGUAACGAUAAAGCGGGUGAAAAGCCCGCUCGCCGGAAGACCAAGGGUUCCUGUCCAACGUUAAUCGGGGCAGGGUGAGUCGACCCCUAAGGCGAGGCCGAAAGGCGUAGUCGAUGGGAAACAGGUUAAUAUUCCUGUACUUGGUGUUACUGCGAAGGG